ensembl:lncRNA
CUUAAACUGAGUAAUUCCAGAUUAUCAGUGGGAAAUAAGACACACGCACACCCUCCUUCUUGGAGAAAUAAUUAAUUUAGGCAGCCCGGGUUUUCGCAGCCGCGGCCGGAAAUGAGCCUCGGUCUAGCCCUUUGACGGAGAGGGAUCCCCCCACCCCUCCCAGGCGGGACCGAGGCGUACGAGCGAGGGCUGGGUGCCCUGCCGGAGGUGGGUGCUCCAGGCGCUGGGAGAGAAAGACAGCGCUCACCGGGGCCCGGGCCGCGUUCCCGGGUCGUCUGCAGGAACCCAGGGCAUUGAGGACCAUACAAGAAAAAAGGGAGAGAUCUUUCUGCCAUCUGGAGACUUCUACACCAAGUUCAGGUUCCGGUCUGUGGAGGACCCAACAUAUGUACAAGCACAAAGUACUCUGCAGAACACAGAGAGAUGUCUUUCUGGAAAGAUUUCUAGACUGGGAAUUAGGAUCCUUCAGUUUCACUGCUGUUUCCACUACCUAUUAACAUAUGACCUUGAGCAAGUCACCUAUUACGGCAGAGCGAAGGUUCCUCACCUCUGAUUGGGUACAUUGCCUACCUGUCCCGCCCACCUCACACCGUCGGGCAGGGCCGAAAUGAGCGAAAAUGCAUUGAUCACUGUGAAGAGCUGUUCAAAUGUAUUUUUAUGACUGACUUCCCAGAAUUCUGAGGUCCUAUUGAGACUCUACAUUCAUGUGUUUUGAAAAGAGUGAAUUACUAUACACGUGGGGGGAUUUUUUUGGUCAUAUUAAAAAGCCCCCUUUGUUGUACAGCAGAAACUAACACAGCAUUGUAAAGCAAUUAUACUCCAAUAAAUUUUUC